rnacentral:rRNA from 1 species
UACGUAGGGUGCAAGCGUUUAAUCGGAAUUAUUGGGCGUAAAGGGUGCGCAGGCGGAUGUAUAAGUCAGAUGUGAAAUCCCCGGGCUUAACCUGGGAAUUGCGUUUGAAACUAUAUGACUAGAGUGUGAUAGAGGGGAGUGGAAUUCCAUGUGUAGCAGUGAAAUGCGUAGAGAUGUGGAAGAACACCGAUGCGAAGGCAC